GAUAAGGAAAUGCAAAUUUUCUUUGAAUUUUCUUAAAUUAAUUGGUGAUGCCAUUUAAGUAAUUCCAUAUAGCAAUGUGUGUGCUUACUUCUGAACAUUAACAUGAAUCUGUUAGUCCGUUUCAAACUACCCUACAUUUUUAAUUUUAUUUGCAGAUUUUGGUAGAGCACAUCAGCGCAGUUCUUCUAGGAUUAAAAGCCCAUAGACAAAUUCUGUCAAUAGGCCUUGCUGGUUGGGGUGGUCAGCGAGUUUUAAAACUAUGAUCAUGGUUAGGUUACCUAUACUGAGCAUAAAUGCACAAUCUCAUGUUUUUUUUUUUUUUGCUUCAUAGUUGUUUAAGGAUAACAGACAGUGAAGAUGUCAUGGUUCUUUAAAUAUGCAUGUGGACUAAGUUUUCUGUAUUGCCAUUAUAUUCAUGUGUGGGAAUGUGAAACUUCUGAUUCAUAAAUGUAAAUAGGGUUGGGAAUGUGAAAUGAACACAUUUUAGAAUCACUAAAAUGAAUGCAAAUGUGGUUGUGUAUGUUCUGUAAUUCCUAUUACAAACUGUAAAUGCAAAUAGGUUGUGAUGGUAAAAACUUAUCCAUGCGCUAAUUCAUUGACCGACUUUUCCUGAUUGCAGCAAAUCCUAGACUUUGAAAAUAAUGUAGAUGCUUGUGAAGUGAUGCAGAUCAGUGGAGAUGCAUUCUAAGUGGUUCAUAGAUUAACCUUUUUUUUUUUGUGAUUGCUAAGUUUGGUUGUAGGUUUUGUGAAGUGGUUUGUAUCAAUGGUUUUUUUUUUCAAAUCAAUCGUUACUUUCCUUUUGUGCACUUAUUUCUAAACUGAUAGCCAUCGAUGUAGACCUGUCACCACAUGUAGGAGUAGUACUUGGGCUUCAUGCACUCAUUGGUAGCCUGAUUCAUCAACUCAUUUGUGUAACUGAUUGACUUUUCCUUAUUGUAAAAGAUCCUAGACUUUUGUACCUAAUGCACAUGCUUGUGAAGUGAUGCAGAUCGAUGGAUGGUUGUGAAGUGAUUCAUUGACUUAUUUUGUGAUUGCAGUGAUGGGUUGCAGGUUUUUAUGAAGUGAUGCACAUUAAUGGGUUUUUUUUUUUCCAAAUCAACGGUUACUGUUCUUUCUUGCACUCAUUUGUAAACUGAUUCAUGCACUCAUGUGACUUGGAUUGUAUCAUGUGAUUGCAGCAGAUCCUAAUCUAAUUUGUCAAUUGAUUCAUAGACUAAACUCUAGACAAAUCUAUGAAUUGGAACUCAUUUGUGAACUGAACUUGAACUGGAAUGCGGACUGUAGCUUGAACUAAACAUUUUGUUGAAGUCCAUACCAUUGGAAUUUCUGUGAACUGAAAUGCAUUGCUAAAUUCAUUGCUAUUGAACUAAAUUUUCCCCAGAGAGUCCAUUGCCGUGGCGGAUAGCCUUCCCCGCUGGGUAGCUCUAACCAGCAAAACAGGUUAUUCCAUGCUAUCUUGGAUCUCCCCCUCUUCUCCCGAGGGGAGCUGGUCCUUGAUAGGUCAGGUUUAGGAGCGGUUCGAUUUUCUUAGCCCUCUCUUUGUUUUCUUUUUGAGAUAUGAUAGGCGGGCCUCCGUCUGGUGGCCCUCCCGAAUGCGCAGGCCUUGUAUAGCUUCAAGUCUUAGUCCCUUUUAUUGGCUUGAGUCUAUUGCUCAUUUAUAAGAAUCUUAUAUCAUCAAUGAAAUCCAGAUUUUUGAAAAAAAAAAACUAAAUUUCCCGGUGGACUAUGGAUCAAGCUGAACUCAGUUGCAACUCCAACUGAGAACAUGCAUUUCUAAACUAUAGAACACUGCAAAUUCCUAUGAACUGAACUUUUUGCUAUCCAAAAUUAUGCUUUUGCUAUUGUGCAAAAGUUACUCUCCUUUUAUGACUGUUGCUAUUGUGCAAAAAUCGCACUCCUGUGACUUUUGAAAAUUCACAAGAUGGCAUUGAUCAUGGGCAUGGAUAAUACAAAUGUCUUAUAUUUCUAAAAAAAUAGUGGUUGAUACCAUCAUGAUUUUGUAGUUUCAUAAUGGGAUACAUGUACCGUUAGUAAUGGGUGGUGAACAACAAGUGCAGCCACUAUCAUGGUUUCACGAUAAUGAUGGUUAACAUAUGAUGAUAUAGGAUGACCUAAAUUUGCUGCCUCAAAGACAACAUAUGGCUUGGACUCAUGCAUCAUGGGAGAAGUUUGCUAUAUCGUCCCCAGGUUGUGGAAUGUGAGUUGUUGAUGGUCCCUGCAAGCGAAUUACCAUACGAGGGACAUGACCUAGUUAAGGUAUGCUUCAGUUGACUGUUGAGGUUCAGGCUUCUCUUAUUUUUAUGGUCCUUCAAGAGAAUUUUUAUUUAUCAUUUGGGUAUUUAAAUGGGCCCUAGGAAUGUUGCCAAAGAUUCUAUCUAUUGUGAAGCUCUUCUGUUAUUUAUGUUUUGAAAAUUCAAAUAGUUUCAUGUUUGAAUUUAUUUUCAUUCUGUUGCUCAAUCGGGCAUUGUGUACUUUUUAAAAAAUUGAAAACUGGUGAAACUUGCAGUUUUCUGGAGGGAAUCUUAUAUAUCUAGCAAGUGAAACAAAAAUGAGAUCAUUAGAAGAGUAAAAACCUCAUCAAGAACUCUUGCAAGAAACCAUACCACGUGCCUUGCUUUAGGAUACAUUUGGAUGUUAGGUUCUCAAGGGUGACAGGAUGUGUGCCGUCAGUCCAGGGUUGAGAUAUGAAAUGCAUGUCGACCCAAUUUGAGGGAGAAAAGGAAGGAAAACACUAGUCUGCAUAAUGCAGGCUGUGUUUUCUGCACUGGUCCAAACACCAAGUGCAUUAAGGACGCUGGGGAAGCUCCACAAUACACAAUUUGAUGGCACUUAUAUACUAUCAGAAGGUUGAAUUCAAGUUGAAGUAGAUUUUUUAAAUAACUACAGAACUAUAUUAUGUGUAUUUGUGUGGAAAAAAAGUUUUUAUUUAUUUAUUUAUUUUAACUUGAGCAAGGACUAUAGUUGAGGGUGUGUUUGCU